CGCUGGCGGCCGCUUACACAUGCAAGUCGAACGAAGCACCGGAGCUUGCUCUGGUGACUGAGUGGCAGACGGGUGAGUAACACGUGGGAAUCUACCAUUUGGUGUGGGAUAACAUCUGGAAACGGGUGCUAAUACCGCAUACGCCCUCCGGGGGAAAGAUUUAUCGCCAAAUGAUGAGCCCGCGUGAGAUUAGCUAGUUGGUAGGGUAAAGGCCUACCAAGGCGACGAUCUCUAGCUGGUUUGAGAGGAUGAUCAGCCACACUGGGACUGAGACACGGCCCAGACUCCUACGGGAGGCAGCAGUGGGGAAUAUUGGACAAUGGGGGAAACCCUGAUCCAGCGAUGCCGCGUGAGUGAAGAAGGCCUUAGGGUUGUAAAGCUCUUUCAGGAGUGAAGAUGAUGACGGUAGCUCCAGAAGAAGGACCGGCUAACUCCGUGCCAGCAGCCGCGGUAAUACGGAGGGUCCAAGCGUUGUUCGGAAUUACUGGGCGUAAAGAGCGCGUAGGCGGCGCAGAUAGUCAGAUGUGAAAGCCCUGGGCUCAACCUAGGAGGUGCAUUUGAUACUACUGUGCUAGAGUACCGAAGAGGUAAGUGGAAUUCCUAGUGUAGAGGUGAAAUUCGUAGAUAUUAGGAGGAACACCAGAGGCGAAGGCGGCUUACUGGUCGGUAACUGACGCUGAGGCGCGAAAGCGUGGGGAGCAGACAGGAUUAGAUACCCUGGUAGUCCACGCCGUAAACGAUGAGUGCUAGAUGUUGGGUCGAAUGAUUCGGUGUCGCAGCUAACGCAAUAAGC
rnacentral:rRNA from 1 species